rnacentral:rRNA from 1 species
AGCGAACGCUGGCGGCAGGCUUAACACAUGCAAGUCGAGCGGGCACUUUCGGGUGUCAGCGGCGGACGGGUGAGUAACGCGUGGGAACGUGCCCUCUGGUUCGGAAUAACUCAGGGAAACUUGAUCUAAUACCGGAUACGCCCUUUUGGGGAAAGGCUUGCUGCCGGAGGAUCGGCCCGCGUCUGAUUAGCUAGUUGGUGAGGUAACGGCUCACCAAGGCGACGAUCAGUAGCUGGUCUGAGAGGAUGAUCAGCCACACUGGGACUGAGACACGGCCCAGACUCCUACGGGAGGGAGCAGUGGGGAAUAUUGGACGAUGGGCGCAAGCCUGAUCCAGCCAUGCCGGGUGAGUGAUGAAGGCCUUAGGGUUGUAAAGCUCUUUUAUCCGGGACGAUAAUGACGGUACCGGAGGAAUAAGCCCCGGCUAACUUCGUG